UACGUAGGGGGCAAGCGUUAUCCGGAUUUACUGGGUGUAAAGGGAGCGUAGACGGCCAGACAAGUCUGAAGUGAAAAUCCAGCGCUUAACGUUGGAAGUGCUUUGGAAACUGCCGGGCUAGAGUGCAGGAGGGGCAGGCGGAAUUCCUAGUGUAGCGGUGAAAUGCGUAGAUAUUAGGAGGAACACCAGUGGCGAAGGCGGCCUGCUGGACCGUGACUGACGUUGAGGCUCGAAAGCGUGGGGAGCAAACAGG
rnacentral:rRNA from 1 species